UGACCAUAACGAUAAAGAAAGUUGAUCUGCGAGGACCGAGAAACUUCGGCCAGCAGAAACACACGUCUAAUUUUAACUAAAUCUCACUUCUUCAUAUUAACAUUUUAGCCAUAAGAGAGGAUGACUGAUGCCUUUUUGGGAUGCGAGGUGUCGGUGGAGGUGGGCGGAGGACUGGGGUUCUAUCAAGGCCGAGUUGUCUCCGUCAACUCACAGAAGCAGACGUUAACCAUCACCCGUGUCAUACACAAUGGUCGUCCAGAUUCCCUUUCCGAGGUCACAAUAAGUGCUUGCGACAUCAAGGACUUGAAGAUCAUUGCACGCCCAAAUGAGUCUGUGCCUCAAGUGCAAAAUCCUGAGGCAAAAUCCAGCAUGAGGUAUUCUGCCCAACGUCAGGCACAGCAGUCAUUCCAGAAGAUACAUGAUGGGCAGGAACAGCUUGUUCCGAAGCAGCAACAGCAACAAGUUGGAUUGAAUGCGGGAGUAGAGGCCCAGCAGCAAGCGAAACGGAAGCCUCGCACGUCUGUAGGAGAAACCUUGGCCCAUGGUACGCAGUCUUCAACGUCUAGGGACCAAGGAAAUGACUGGCAGCGUCCGUACCAAGCUCCCUACACGUGCCAUGAGUACAGCUCUCCACGGCGGAACGACAAGUACGGCAAUGACUCCUCCAGGACUCCAGGCAAGAGGGACCGCAGGCGCAACAGGGACGAGACCACCUUCGGCACCCCCAUUGAUGACGACAUGCUCAGCACGGAGUUUGACUUUGAGAAGAAUCUGGCCCUCUUUGACAAGCAGGCUGUGAUUGAAGAAAUACAGAGUCUAAAGCCAGACGUGGUUCGUCAGGCAGACCGGUACACAGAGAAGAAAUAUAGGUGCGAUGAAAAUGUGUUGCCUUCUAAAGCACCAGCAAAGAAGCAGAUAACUGUGCCUACUUCAGGAGCUGCAGAAGUUAUCUAUGCAAAUGAUUGUGGACUGCUGGUACCUUCUGUGAGUAGUGAAUUGCGGGCAGAACUGUUAUCUACAGCCAAUCAACACGGUCUCACUCACUCACGUCAGCUGGAGAUCAUUGGACGAGCAGCAACAGAGGUUAUUCUCUCUCUGAGUGGAGGCAAUCACAGGCUAGGACCAGGCAACAGCCACCAGCCACCUGUUGUGGUAGUUCUGUGCGGCUGUCACGUGCAAGGAGCUGCGGGAGUAAAUGCUGCCAGACAGCUAGAGAGCCAUGGAGUCAGGACUGUUGUAGUGACACCACAGCUGCCAACUUCACCUCCCCCAUCCCUGCUCCUCACCCAUGAGUUGCAACUGUAUGCCCUCACCUCAGGACGCACAGCCUCUGACCCUGGGGGCAUUCCUGCUACUGUUGAUCUGAUUGUGGAUGCCAGACUGGACCAUAGUGGGCAAGCAGGAGAGGGCAGCUCUGGGCACACUUGGCUCACUGUAACAACAAGGUGGGCAUCAAAUUCCCGAGCUCCAAUUCUUGCCCUCGACCCACCCAGUGACUUAGCUGCCAUCCCCUCCACCCAGCCACCCCUGCUGGCUCGGGUCUUACUGUGUCCAUCCUUACCUCUCGCAUAUACUCCAGCAAGGGGCAAAGUGUACCUCAUAAAUGUACCCAUACCCCAGCAAACAUUCAAUGCUGUGGGAAUUAAGUAUGUUUCACCAUUUGGAGCCAAGUUGGUUAUUCCAUUGCACCCAUAUGAGUAAGUGGAACACGUCCUUUACGGUUGGUAUGAUGAGCAUCUAAAUAUGUGUCGCCUAUUCUAGUAACUGGAUAUUUCUUGAAGGAAGUGAUCUCGUAAAGGGUUGUUUUUAGUUUGAUACUGUCAUUAUCUUGCUAGGCUGUCCAUACUGCUAGGAGCAAACUCUGUUAUUAUUCACUGAUAUAACAUUUAAUGUAGGAAAAUGGCCCUUUGUCGUAUUUCAACUUGAAAAUAUUUUACACUCAAGUGGUGAUAUUUUUCCUUUUAUUUCAUGACAAACUUUUUUCUUCAAAGAUACCAAUUUGAAUAUGCAUUAUUCUUUAACAUUAUGUAGCAUUGGUCUUCCUUUGUGGAAUAUAUAAUAUUGGGUGUCUUUUGCACAUUUACGUUAUACUAUAUGAAAAAAUGUAUUUUUCUAAGAGAAAACUAAUUUUUUGAAUCAGUAUAUGUGCAUUGCUGUUAUGAUAAAAAAUAUAUUCCAUAAAUAUUUAUUAUGUAAUCUUAAAGGCCUAAUAUAAACUUUAGGAUGUGUUUCAGCCCAGUGAGUGCUGUCUGUUUUGGAUUGGCAUCCAAAUGUAGUAUGUAAUUUACCAAUUUAGAUACUAUUGAGACAUGUAUUAGCAUUGCUGCUGCAGGGAGUGUAUUAUCAGCAAUGUUAUCUGUAAAAAAUAUAUAUAUAUUGUUAACCCGUUAACGACGGAUGACGUGUUUUUUCGUCAUACAUGACGCAGGAGCUCUUGCCUGACAAUGGGCGUCAUGAUCGUUGGGGAUUUUGGAUCACUGUUAUUUUAUUGUGCUAUGAGUAAUGAGUGAGUGAUGCUGAAAAUUGCAGUCUUAUAAUAAUUAUAACUGCCGUAAUAUUAAGCAAAGUGGGUUUCAACUCGCUUCCAAAACCUAGAUGGCACCACUUUUUUCUAGCAUGAGCAGGAGAGAGAGCCUUGAAUGGCAUCUACGGUCUCUAGCAAGCACUAUCUCUAUAGAGAUAGUUGGUGACAUCUUGCUCUAAAGUACCGCAGAAGGUGACUCACAUGCCCAAUGCCUACUAUGUGCCCCUGUGCCAGUAGAGAUGCCUUUUAUUGUGGCACUUACUGUCUAAAUCACAAGUUUCCUUCCUCUUCCCUACCUCUUCAUUUUGGAUGGUUAUAAGUUUUGUGUUUGUUCGUGACAGCACACAAAUACAAAAAAAAAAAGUUGCUUUUUGUCCCCCCCCCCAUAAAACAGUAAUACUUCUUUUACAUUGAGAAUAAAGAAAAAAAAUGAGUUGAUAUGGACCCUGAGCUACAGUUUUAGUCAACUGCAGAAUUGAUGGAGCCUGUGAUAUGACAGAUAUAAAUUUCUAAAAACAGUAAAACACACAAAAAAACAAAACAAAAAUGUCUCUAGCUCUUCAAUGAGUGACUAAAAGGGAGUGGGAAAAAUCAAAUUAUGUUGCAGAAGCUGGCUCGAUCAGAAGUAAAACUCAUCCUGGAGCCUGUGUAAGCAAAUCUAUCCCCUUUUGGCAACGGGUUAAAAGAGGAAUACCUCUACCUAUUCAGGUAGUUAAUAAACAUUCAGGAAGAAUAGUCUAUGGGGAUUUUUAAUUUUUAAUUUAUUUUUUAUUUACCCAUAUGGUCUGUGAUAAAGAUGUAUACAGAAGUGCUUUCAUUUCAAACAUUUGAAAUACUGUAUGUUUCCUGAGUUUCUCAUUAGGAAGCAGAGAUUAUUAGUAAACAUCUCCUUCAUCUUUAACAAAUACCCGAGAUUAUUGUAAAUGUGAUAGCGAGCAUGAUGCUGGAGCCGAUAACAGCAAAUUUUAAACAUUUCUUUUAUCUCCUUGAUGAUAAGAUAAAAAAGCUGAGUGUAUAAUUUGUAGUACUUAAAUAUACAUAUACUACACAGAGCCAUAUAACUAGUUCAUUAUGAGAUACAGGAUAUAGGCGCUUGUAAUAGCAAAGGAACUUGAUAUUAUUUUUAGAAGAACACCCCUUUCAGGCUUUGUUUUCAGUAUGGAAAUAUCAGAUGAUAUACAAUAUAUUAAAUAAAAGAACCUUGUUUCUAGUGGUUCAGGUGAGCUAUAAUUAAAAAAAAAAAUAGAAGAGAGAAUGAUAUAGAAAGUGUUGAAGAUAGAAAAUUUAAGAAAAGAAAGAAAACAUCUUUGAAAAUAUAUUUUUUUCCAAAUGUGUUGUAAUAGUUAUGUUCUACAAAAAUCAAACAAAAACAAAACAGAGCAUUAUAUUGUAAAACUGCACUCUGUUAAGGGUAAUUUUACUUUCAGCACUGAACUCGUGUUUAUAUAAAUAUCAUCAUUAUAUAUGUUUGCCAUUUAUCUUUAAGGAGUACACAGUAAGGAUUAUCUCAAUUAUUUUUGGUCACAUGAUCAACACCAUGAAAAUUUGGUCAAAAAAAGUUAUUCUGAUUUUGAAAAAUGUAUGAUAUCUUCACAUUGAGCUUACAGUUAAGUGUCCUUUUAAUUUAAAAGAAAUAAAGUUAUUUUUUCAUCUU
rnacentral:misc_RNA from 1 species